GAGAGCAGCAGGAGCAGAAGAAACAAAAAGGUUGCCUAUACCAUCUCCUCAUGGCGUUCUGCAAGAGCAGCACCAUUGUUUUGUGCGUUCUAGCGCUCAUGGUCAUGGCGCCCACUGUGUUCUCCGCUGAGUACUGCGCCAGUCUUCCGAACUGCAGCCAGCCGGAGUGCUUCAACCAGUGCACGCACGAGGAUGUACCAUCGUCCAAGGCCUAUUGCCGGCAGCCAGACCAAUGCUGCUGUCCCCCAGCAGCAAAAUCUUAGGAGAUGACACGACUACCUCGCUAGCUGCUGCUGCUGGUCUGUCAGAAUAUAAAUCAGAAUAUGUCUGCGAAAUGAUGGAAUUUGUAAUGAGUAAACGUUUUCUUAGAUGAUGCACAAUAAAAAAAUUGAUCGUUGCAUGAGUUAAGCAUA